rnacentral:rRNA from 1 species
GUAGGCCCCAAGCGUUAUCCGGAAUUACUGGGCGUAAAGUGCGCGUAGGCGUUUUUGUAAGUCGGUCGUUAAAUCUCACAGCUUAACUGUGAGACCGCGAGCGAUACUACAAGAAUUGAGUUUUGCAGGGGCUAGCAGAAUUUCUGGAGUAGGGGUGAAAUCCGUUGAUACCAGAAGGAAUACCAAUGGCGAAGGCAGCUAGCUGGGCAAUAACUGACGCUGAGAGCGCGAAAGCGUGGGGAGCAAACGGGAUUAGAUACCCCGGUAGUCCACGCUGUAAACUAUGUCUACUAGCAAUAGGAAGAGUCGACCCUUUCUGUUGCGAAGCUAACGCGUCAAGUAGACCGCCUGGGAAGUACGAUCGCAAGAUUA